AGUUUUUCAUGUAAAAUAUGACGAAAGUUGAGAAUAUAUAUGUUUACCGACAUUGCCAUGUACAAUACAAUGCAUGUAGCAUUUGUAUUGUACGCGGAAACGGAACGAAAAAGAUGUCUUUGUCGAGUUCAUUGCAAAACUUUCGUGUCGCGAUACCAGCAGGUUUUAGAAGAAAUACAAAGUCUUCGAACAACUGCUGUUCGCAAUUAAUUAGAGAUAAGUAAGUUAUAUGAAUGAAUGAAGGAAUUUUCUUCAUUCUCUGCGUUGAGCAAGUGACGUGGACUAUGGGCCUAACCCCUCUCAUUCUGAGAGGAGACUCGAGCUCAGCAGUGAGCCGAAUAUGGUAUUUUUAUAUGGUGAGCUUCCAUCAUAGGAUAAGUUGGUUUAAGAUUUGGAGUAGGCUUAUUCAGUACUAGCAGACACACCAUA
rnacentral:lncRNA from 1 species